UAAUUUUAGUUAAAUUAGUUAAAAUGUUUGAAAUGGAAAAAAAGUUAAAUUUUUACUUCCAUAUAGGUGUAUGUGGAGAAUUAUGUAGGCUAAUUUUGAACUGUCAUAAAUGGCUUUAUUUGAAAAUGUUAGAUGACAAGUGUUGAUUUGAUAUGCACUCUAAUUUUUCAUUAAAGUUUUAAGAAGGUGAAAUACAAGUACAUUUAUUGAAUUUCUUUUUCCUACAGUGGCACUUUAAACAAUAUAUUUUAUUAAUUUUGGCCAAAGGAAAUAAGUGUCUUUUACAUAUGUGUAUGACAACUUUAUUAUUUUUAUGUAGUUGAAAGUUGAUUUUCUAAUUAAAAUUGCAUAAGAAGAAGUACAUUUUACAGGUGUUUGAUGUAUGAUUUGCUGUAAGGUAGACAGUUAAAGCCAGUUCUAAGUUCAUUUGAUGCCUGCAGUUGUUGACAGGAAAAUUAUUUAUGUAAUUUUAGUUCAGGAAUUUUCUUUUUGAUAUAUUUGUAUUUUGAUUGAUUUGUUACCAAAAGCUUAUGACAUAUCAACAAGAGUUUACUUGUACAAUACAAUCAUAUGGUAUAAGUAUAAGUAUCGUUUUCAUUUUCAUUUUCCAUUUGGUUUGGUAUUUAUUUCCUCCCUUAAUAUAAAGAAUUGCAGCUGUUUAAUUUAGUCCCUAUGCCAAGGGAAUAUCAGUACCUUACAGAAAGAGUGUUUAAUCAUGCUUAUGUUCCUCAGUCAUGUUAAACCGUUAAUAUAUGGUAUAAGUAUCAUUAUAUUUUCCAUUUGGUUUGGUAUUUAUUUCCUCCCUGAAUAUAAAAAAAUGCAGCUGUUUAAUUUAAUCCCUAUGACAAGGGAAUAUCAGUACCUUACAGAAAGAGUGUUUAAUCAUGCUUAUGUUCCUCAGUCAUGUUAAACUGUUAAUUUAUGGUAUAA